UAUUGGACAAUGGGGGCAACCCUGAUCCAGCAAUGCCGCGUGUGUGAAGAAGGUCUUCGGAUUGUAAAGCACUUUCGACGGGGACGAUGAUGACGGUACCCGUAGAAGAAGCCCCGGCUAACUUCGUGCCAGCAGCCGCGGUAAUACGAAGGGGGCUAGCAUUGCUCGGAAUGACUGGGCGUAAAGGGCGUGUAGGCGGUUUGUACAGUCAGAUGUGAAAUCCCCGGGCUUAACCUGGGAGCUGCAUUUGAUACGUGCAGACUAGAGUGUGAGAGAGGGUUGUGGAAUUCCCAGUGUAGAGGUGAAAUUCGUAGAUAUUGGGAAGAACACCGGUGGCGAAGGCGGCAACCUGGCUCAUUACUGACGCUGAGGCGCGAAAGCGUGGGGAGCAAACAGG
rnacentral:rRNA from 1 species